rnacentral:lncRNA from 1 species
AGGAUAAGCCAAGAUAUUUUGUAAAAUCAUUCUACAUUUUUCUCUUCAUGGUACAAUCAAAUUGUUAAGCCGAAAUAGUUUGGUCUAGCAGGUUAUAAUGAGGCAGGACCAUUGAAGAUACUUAUGAAAAAGAAUUUAGACAAAAAAGUUUAGGAUGGAAUUGGUCUUUCUAAAUCAUGCACAUAUGUCCAACAUAUGCCAGUUUGUGGAAAAAAGGAGAAUAAAUUUAAUUUCAACUCUGCACAUUAAAGGCACAAUUCUUAUAAGCAGUCUUAAUAAACUUGGUAGAACUGCAAUUACUAGAGUAACACACAGCAGUUAAUUGCCUAAUAAUUCUGAAAUUACAAACUGCAAUCCAGUCAUCUAUAAACAUUCCAACCCUAUAGGUUCCAAAAUGAUUAGCAAAUGACCAGCAAGCAGAUGGUGCUUUAUGGGUCAGAAUUUACUGUUUCAGAUACUUAUGAAACAGAAUUUUAGACAAAAAAGUUUAGGAUGGAAUUGGUCUUUGUAAAUCAUGCACAUAUGUCCAACAUAUGCCAGUUUGUGGAAAAAAGGAGAAUAAAUUUAAUUUCAACUCUGCACAUCAAAGGCACAAUUCUUAUAAGCAGUCUUAAUAAACUUGGUAGAACUGCAAUUACUAGAGUAACACAGAGCAGUUAAUUGCCUAAUAAUUCUGAAAUUACAAACUGCAAUCCAGUCAUCUAUAAACAUUCCAGCCCUAUGGGUUCCAAAAUGAUUAGCAAAUGACCAGCAAGCAGAUGGUGCUUUAUGGGUCAGAAUUUACUGUUUUCUUAAAUUCAAACCUCUGUGAUUUAAG